rnacentral:rRNA from 1 species
UACAGAGGGCGCAAGCGUUAAUCGGAAUUACUGGGCGUAAAGCGUGCGUAGACGGUUAUUUAAGUCAGGUGUGAAAGCCCCGGGCUCAACCUGGGAAUUGCAUUUGAGACUGAAUAGCUAGGGUGCGGAAGAGGGAAGCGGAAUUUCCGGUGUAGCGGUGAAAUGCGUAGAUAUCGGAAGGAACACCAGUGGCGAAAGCGGCUUCCUGGACCGACAUUGACGCUGAUGAGCGAAAGCUAGGGGAGCAAACGGG